AGAAAUCUUCCGUGGGAUGCACCACACAGGAGAAAGAACCAGUGCUCCCUAAAUUUUCCCCGCCAAUACCGCAGAAAAAGGGCGUGGGUAAUCAAUGGAUGCCGAAGAGGAGGAUACAAGCUUUCUGGUAAGCAGACUAUCCUGGACCAUGACCUCCUGACAAGCCAGGUUGACGGAAGAUAGUUGGCGCAUAUGAACCAACUAGCCAACUUUUAAACUCGUGAGUGAAGAGAUGGUGCUCUUCAGCCAAAAUCACAGCCUCAGCUUUUACUGAUCGCUGAUGCACAAGAAGGAAAACAUCCGUGUUGUUCAGAGCAGCCGUGCAGCUGUCCUUUCGGAGAUGCAACAUUUAAAAGGACCCGUGCAGCAUUAUGACAACUGGAGAAACACACUCAGAAUGUUGGAGGAACUCAGCAGGACCUCCUCCUCCUUCCUAUCCACAUCAUUGGUCCCUACAUGGACCAUGACAUCUGGCUGCUCACCCUGCCUCUUGAGAAUACCAAGAACUUGAUCUGAGAUAUCGCGGACCCUGGCACCAGGGAGAGGCUAGGCACCUACAUCACACACUGUCUCUCCAACGUCAGCUGAGAGCGGUGCAGGUUGGAGGCUACCAAGACAGAAUAUACGAUGUUGCUCCUCCACCCUGAGAGUGGUCUGCCUCAUCAUGGCACAAGAGGAGGCCAUGGAUCGACUUGUCGGAACCCGGGUGGGAAUUGGAAUUGAAGUGUUUGGCCACUGGGAAUUCCAGCUUAUGGCAAUGGUGCAAAGGUACUCAAUGGAGCAGUCCCCCAAUUUUCAACAGGUCUCACCAGCAUAGAGGAGGCUGUAUCAGGAGCACCAGAUGCAAUAGACAACCCCAGCAGAUUCUCAGGUGAAGUGUUGCCUCACCUGGAAGGACUGUUUGGGGUUUGGAAUGGAGGUGAGGGAGGAAGUGAAUGGGCAAAUAUUGUACUUGGGCUGUUUGCAGGGAUCGGUGCUGUGAAGGAGAUUAGUGGGACAUCACAAUGUUGUAUAGCUCAGAAAAGGGAUCUCCAACCCACAGUCUUACACAGCAGCUUUUUUGCCUGUUUACACUAA